ACUCAAAUGAAUUGACGGGGGCCCGCACAAGCGGUGGAACAUGUGGUUUAAUUCGACGCAACGCGAAGAACCUUACCUACCCUUGACAUCCUCGGAAUCUGCCAGAGAUGGCGGAGUGCCUUCGGGAGCCGAGAGACAGGUGCUGCAUGGCUGUCGUCAGCUCGUGUCGUGAGAUGUUGGGUUAAGUCCCGUAACGAGCGCAACCCUUGUCCUUAGUUGCCAACAGGUAAAGCUGGGAACUCUAAGGAGACUGCCGGUGAUAAGCCGGAGGAAGGUGGGGAUGACGUCAAGUCCUCAUGGCCCUUACGGGUAGGGCUACACACGUGUUACAAUGGGCAGUACAAAGGGGAGCGAAGCCGCGAGGUGGAGCGAAUCUUGUAAAAGCUGUUCGUAGUCCGGAUUGGAGUCUGCAACUCGACUCCAUGAAGUUGGAAUCGCUAGUAAUCGUGGAUCAGAACGCCACGGUGAAUACGUUCCCGGGCCUUGCACACACCGCCCGU
rnacentral:rRNA from 1 species